UACGAAGGGUGCAAACGUUGCUCGGAAUUAUUGGGCGUAAAGCGCACGUAGGCGGCUUAGCAAGUCGGAUGUGAAAUCCCUCGGCUCAACCGGGGAACUGCGUCUGAUACUGGGUGGCUUGAAUCCGGGAGAGGGAUGCGGAAUUCCAGGUGUAGCGGUGAAAUGCGUAGAUAUCUGGAGGAACACCGGUGGCGAAGGCGGCAUCCUGGACCGGCAUUGACGCUGAGGCGCGAAAGCCAGGGGAGCAAACGGG
rnacentral:rRNA from 1 species